CGGGGCGUGGCGCAGCCUGGUAGCGUACUAGCAUGGGGCGCUAGUGGUCGCAGGUUCAAAUCCUGCCGUCCCGACCA
rnacentral:tRNA from 2 species